UGCGGGGUGGAGCAGUCUGGUAGCUCGUCGGGCUCAUAACCCGAAGGUCCCUAGUUCGAAUCUAGGCCCCGCUA
rnacentral:tRNA from 1 species